GGUGGAGCACUUGUCAGGAGUGAAUGGAAAAGGAAUAAAACUCACUUCUUUUUCAAAGAGCCCAGCUGGACGAUGUGUAGACACAAUGGCCAAGACCUCCUCAAUUUGCUGGCCUGGGGCAGAACUCGAGGUAACUCAGCAAUGAAGAGGCAAGGAGGGCUCCUGAAUGCUGGAAGGUUGUAGACUCCAGAUGGUAGUCCUUUAGUUACCAUUAAAGCCUUGAGGAUUGAUUGAUGCUUUAUUGCAUCUUUAAAAGGGAAUCUGGAAGCAGAGCCACACAUAAUUCAGCAUAACUCAGCCCACUGAGCCCUCCAGAGGAGGUAGAAAUUGAGCACAGAAGCUCUGAAAUGGAUUGUAACCAGUGUCAGAGGAAUUCUCAAAAGACCCAUUCUCUCAGAAAUAAGUUGGCCAAGUGGAGCUGGAUCCACAGCUGCCACCCAAGAUUUCUACUGCCCCACAGGGUUUCUACACAAGGAAGGACUAAGGUAUCUACCUACCUAGCCCAUGACAAAGACAUGUGACUCUAACAGCAAACUGCAGCUUGUGGCUAACUAGCAAAUCCUCUCUUCAUGGAAUAGAUAAAAGUGAACUCCAAUCAAGCUCAGGUGAAA